AGCCGCGGUAAUUCCAGCUCCAAUAGCGUAUAUUAAAGUUGCUGCAGUUAAAAAGCUCGUAGUUGAAUUUCGGGGUCAAUAUGUUGGUCGUGCCUUGGUACGUACUAGCUUAUUGAUUUCUCCUUUCUGACGAACCAUGAUGUCAUUAAUUUGGUGUCAUGGGGAAUCAGGACUGUUACUUUGAAAAAAUUAGAGUGUUUAAAGCAGGCUCGCGCUUGAAUACAUUAGCAUGGAAUAAUGAAAUAGGACAUUUGAUUCUAUUUUGUUGGUUUCUAGGAUCGAUGUAAUGAUUAAUAGGGAUAGUUGGGGGCAUUAGUAUUCAAUUGUCAGAGGUGAAAUUCUUGGAUUUAUUGAAGACUAACUACUGCGAAAGCAUUUGCCAAGGAUGUUUUCAUUAAUCAAAAACGAAAGUUAGGGGAUCGAAGACGAUCAGAUACCGUCGUAGUCUUAACCAUAAACUAUGCCGACUAGGGAUCGGAUGAUGUUAAUUUUUUAAUGACUCA
rnacentral:rRNA from 1 species